rnacentral:lncRNA from 1 species
GUCCCGAAUGAUGUAAGAGAGAGGGGCCAGGCCUGCCCAAGGAGACCUCUCGAAAACUCGGACCAAACCUGUCCUUUAACGCGCUCCUUGUAUCCCACAGCCCUUCCUGAACGCGAGCCUCACCAAGGACACGCUGAAACAGGACGACCAAAACCACUCCCUCCUAGAAGCACGAAGCCGCCGGACGGAAAACCGACGCAGACAGUGACGCCACUUCCGUUUCCUACUUCGGCCGUGACGGGGUGGAGUUCUGAGAUUGGGACUGUCAGUCAAAUUCAGCCAAUGCAGAGAAAACUUGCAGUUUCUCCCAACGUUGCGGGGCUGACUGCAAAUAACAAGAAAGCUUUGCUGGUAAGCAUCAGAGACGGUGUUCCAGUAAAGGCUGGUGGAGUGAGAAGGAAACAAAGCGAGAUGGUGGGUAUUGGGCUUUACCUCUAGAAUAAUGAGGCUGGGACAGUCCCAUAGUUAUUUAGUCUAUGAAGGGGAAGUCUAUAGUUAGCAAGUACUUUAGUUCUCUAUAUUGAUGUUUCACCUUACCCACCUCACUGUGUCCACGAUACCAUCUACAAACAAUGUAAUUAUUACUGACAUUCAGUACUCAUUUCAUUGGCUCAUUUUACCAUUCUCUUUAAGUGUUUAAGAGAAUAUCAAGGAGUAGACUGCGUUGUCCUCUUCAUGAAUUAAACACAAAGAUUUAGUGUUUAAUGUAGAAUAUCCAGUUGGCUGUAGUCUUAAAAUGUAUAUUCUUUACUGACUUAAGAAAUGAUCCUUAGCUUCCUUAUCUAGUGAGAGGCUCUGUCCUGGCUGCUAACCACAGUAAUGGCUCUUACAUUCCCUCAAAUGCAUUUUAGACUGUAAUUAUGGUUAUGAUUGCUCUCCGCUGACCUAUUUUUGAGAUAAAUUAUGAUAGCAAACAUUCCAGUAAUAAGCAGAAUUACAUUUUUAGAGUAAGAGUUACUUGUUCACGAUAUAUUAUUCUUUUAAAAUAUAUGUGUGAGUGUACUCUAAUUUUACUAUUCUAUGUCUAUAUUCAGGCAUAUAGUGGGCUUGGAGGGUCCUUUGUGUGUGUUACAGUUGAUACUUAAUGGUCUCAGUCUUUAUUACAUAUCUAACACUUGCCUGUGUUGAGCACCUAAAAUGUGCUAUGAGCACCUAAUAUGUGCUACUAGCACCAUGUAGGUCACUGGAAACACAAUAAUGAGCAAAAAUGGUCACGACCUCUGACCCACAAAUAAAUAUAAAAUUACCGACA